CAUUAUGACAGGUGGUGCAUGGUUGUCGUCAGCUCGUGUCGUGAGAUGUUGGGUUAAGCCCCGCAACGAGCGCAACCCUCUUCCCAUGUUGCCAGCAGUUCGGCUGGGCACUCUUGGGAUACUGCCAGUGUAAAACUGGAGGAAGUGGGAUGACGUCAAAUCAUCAUGCCCUUUAUGCUUUGGGCUGCACACGUGCUACAAUGGCUUGUACAAAGAGCUGCGAUACCGUGAGGUGGAGCGAAUACUCAAAAACAAGUCUAAGUCCAGAUUGAAGGCUGAAACUCGCCUUCAUGAAGUCGGAGUCGCUAGUAAUCGUGGAUCAGCACGCCACGGUGAAUACGUUCCCGGGCCUU
rnacentral:rRNA from 1 species